rnacentral:rRNA from 1 species
GAUGAACGCUGGCGGCGUGCCUAAUACAUGCAAGUCGAGCGAACAGACGAGGAGCUUGCUCCUCUGACGUUAGCGGCGGACGGGUGAGUAACACGUGGAUAACCUACCUAUAAGACUGGGAUAACUUCGGGAAACCGGAGCUAAUACCGGAUAAUAUAUUGAACCGCAUGGUUCAAUAGUGAAAGACGGUUUUGCUGUCACUUAUAGAUUGAUCCGCGCCGCAUUAGCUAGUUGGUAAGGUAACGGCUUACCAAGGCAACGAUGCGUAGCCGACCUGAGAGGGUGAUCGGCCACACUGGAACUGAGACACGGUCCAGACUCCUACGGGAGGCAGCAGUAGGGAAUCUUCCGCAGUGGGCGAAAGCCUGACGGAGCAACGCCGCGUGAGUGAUGAAGGUCUUCGGAUCGUAAAACUCUGUUAUUAGGGAAGAACAAAUGUGUAAGUAACUAUGCACGUCUUGACGGUACCUAAUCAGAAAGCCACGGCUAACUACGUG